rnacentral:lncRNA from 1 species
AAAAAACAUGAACUUCGGACACACACUCAAAAGUAUCAAGCAAGUUUCGAGUAGAUUUACAAUCUAGGCACCAUUUCCUCUUCCAUCCAUCGCCUAGAUUCCCCAAGAAACUCUUAGAUGACCGCCCUUCAAUAUGACCAAAAUUAGGGCAUUAUAUUUUUAUGUAUUCCUCUUCUCCACACAGAGUCUCUCUUGCUUUACAUUUUGAUUCUGUGAAUUUUUAAUUCCUCAAUUUUAGGUUAAAAUUCAUGGGCAAAGGCCUUGAUAUUUACUUCGAUAUUGCCAAAAGUGCUUGACGUUGCGUUCUAAAUUUCAAUUACAGUUGAUUUACUUCUAUUUUUUUUCCCUGCGAUUUUUCCCUUUUUUGGUUUAUAGUGAAAUUGUUUUUCGAUUCGUUUUUUUUGUUCGGAACAGACCUGUUGUACAAGGAGUACCAGAGCGACCAGAAGUUCACCAUUACCAACUACUCUCCUACUGGAGUGUGAGUAUCUUAUUUUUAUUGACAUAAUAAUGUUUUUACAGAUAUUAGCGUUUUUUUUUAUUAAAUUUUAUUUUAUUUUAUUUUUAUUGCUUGAGUUAGGAUUACAGUUUUAAUCUGUAAAUGGUUCCGGCAUAGGAUUCGUACUGUUGUUUCAUGUCUUCGAUUGUUAUAAUUGAAUCUUUAUUUACUUGGCCAGAUUGAGAUUCCAUCUCCGUUUAGUUGUUUUCUUCUCAUUUUUCUUCGAGUUGUGUGUUUAUUAAUUGUUAUGGUUAGGUGAUUUUUGGGUGAACUGAGAAUAUAGUUAAUUGAACAUAUGAAUUUGAUUGAAAUUUUUUAACUUUUUGAAUGCCUUUGCAUAAAUAAUCAUGCGAAAGGGAGUUGAGCUUUGACCUAUGGGUAGACUAUGCAAAAGGUUUUCCAUCUCUCUUGAACUUCAUUGUGAAUGGGGGUAAAAACAAAGAAUUGCUUGGCUAUGUUAUAGUUGUGUUUCUAUUCAUUAAUUAAUUGUAAAGCUAUGUAUGGCAGUGCGUGUUGUGGUGCUUGGACUUCAUAAAUAAGUUUUUCUUUUGUACUUCAAGGUAAGUUUCUCUGUGAAUACUUGUCUGCUUGAUGGUUUCCAUUGACCCUUUGCUCCUUUUAUUCCUCCAAAUUGUUCUUUUUGUUUGAAGCUUCAUAAUCUAGUAGGUUGAAAAUUUUGUACUUUCCAACUGAAAAUUUAUUUGAUGGUAAUAUUUGUAUUAUCUCUGCCAUUUUUACUUAACUGAUCUGCAUUUGUAAUUUUUCAAUCUAUACUUGCUUUAGUUUGUAAUUAGUCUUUUUUCUAUCCUUGCAAGUGCCUGGUGUUCUGGAUGUACUGCCAUUAUUCAUGAAACGUUCAUUCAUUUGAUGAUACUAUGACAAACUAAAUUUAUAAAUAUUAUUCUCCCUCAUCGUAUUAUGGGUUUGAAUGAUCAAGCUUACAUGUUGGUUGAUAGUUAGACCUUACAUUCUACUCCCAGUUGUUUCACAUCUAGGUUUAUAAUCAAAGAUUUUUUGCGUAAACUAUAUUGGUUUCUUUUACUCAGGCUAUGAUAAUUAACAAACUGCUUUCACUUCCUCUUAAAUGAAUGGGGGACUGGUGCUCUAUCUUGUUUUAGGAAGCAAAAAGGCUGAUUAGAGUUGGGGGACUGGAGGAUCAUCUCGAUCAGUUCCGCAAGGAUGGAUCCCAAUUAUUGCAGGUUCAGGACUUGUAAUUCUUUUCCUUUCCAUUGAAAAUUUCAACUGAAUAAGAACAUUUUAGAAAUAAAUAAUUUUUGUGUAUGGAGCAAAACAUCAGGCAUAAAUGCAAUAGUGAUUAGAUGAAAAUACAUCCAUACAGAGACUUAUUUUAUUUAGCUUGGGACUCAGUUAACUUACUUCCUAUAAAAACUUAUUUGGUUUGCCUUAGGAGGCAGUUAACUUAGCCUGGAAUUUGUUGUAUUUAUAUUACUAUUUUAAUUGCUGUUAGAGGCUUGUACUAGGUAAGGCACCAGGCAGGGUGAAUCUAGCAUGAACGUUCAGUUAGGGCGGAGGUUGACUAUGAACGUCGAUCGUCGACAAUCAACGAUCUUAAAAGCCCAGUUCAGCUGGCGGCCGGUCGUUUAUUAAAAUUUGAUUAAAUAAUAUUAAAAAUUAUUCAAACCAAAAUUGAUUGUCAUAACCAACACCAAAAUCAAUUAAUCAAACCAACAUUGUUUGUCAUAAAAAACUGAAAAGAUAAAUAUAGAAAAGAAAAAAAAAAAAUUCAUUGCUCUUCUCUUGAUCAGCUAUAUCUUAUAAUUUUAUGAAAUUCCCAUUUCUCGAGUGUACAAAAAUUUCACUUCCAGCUCGUUUAAAUCAUAAGUGCACAACAUGUAGCUAAUUAGUACCCAAAACAAAUGGCUAGGGCCUUGUUGGCAAUCAUCAAAUAAUUCCCAAUUAAUCAAAUCUAAACCAAUUGAGUCUCUACAUUUGCAUAAUCACAUAAUAAAUUUUCCAAUCAACCAGAUCAUUCAAAGUAAAGAGCACUCAAUGAAUCUACCAACAACUAACCCAAAACUGGAAAAUUAAACUACUUCAUGAAACAAUUUGAUUUCCAAUUUUUUAAACCUCAUUCAACAAAGAAUCUAUUAUUUAAAAAAAAUAAAAAUAAAAUAAUAAUAAUAAUAAUAAAAAAUAAAAAUACAAUCAAUAUAAAGCAUGAAAAUGAUUAAUGUAGAAGAAUUAAAAAAACCUUACCUGAUUGGCUGAUUAAGUAAAUUACAAUUUACAAUAUAAACUUCUAGAUUUCUUGUAAAAUUUACAAUAUAAACUUCUAGAUUUCUUGUACAAGGUCUUUGACAACGUUUUUUAAAUCUUAUUAAAUGCUUUUUUGUUGUAAUAGUCAAUGACUAUUACAGCAAACAAUUAUAUCAUCAUUUAAAAUACACCGUUCUUUAAGUAAGCCUUGAAGCUACAAAACUUCUUUAAUUGUUUCAGUGGUGGCAAUUUAUUCGGAUUCAAUAGUGGAUAGUACAACUAUGUGUUGAAGUUGAGACUUUAAACUAAUUAAAUAAUUACACAGUAAAUAUAUAAGAGGACAUAAGACUUCCUAUCACUAUCCAUCACAUUGUCCGUAUCUACAAAACCCUUCGACUUCACACUCUCAGUUCUAGAUUUAAGCAUUAGAUCUACAUCGUCGAUGCUCUCAGAUAUCUAAGUAGCCACUUCAUUGCGUCCCUCCCAAUGAUUAGGACAUGAAUUAGACAUAAACAUGCUAAGUGUACUUACCACUAAAGGUUAGGCCAGGCAGAAGAACUCUAAUAUUUGAAACCAUAGAUAAGUAAUUGUGCUGGAUAAGUAUAUGCGUUAUUUUGACCAAUGACUAUGGUCAUCCCAUGGUAGCUACUUGAAUUGAAGGCUUGAUGCAUUCUGUAACUUCAGUAAUUGCUGUGGAUAAUAUUUCAAACUUUGUUGAACAGGCAAAAAAGUUGUUAGCAAUAUUCUAUAACUUUUUGGCUUUUAUUAAUUUGUAAGAGAAGAUAUACUCUUGUAUUCUAAUGUGAUUUCUAGGGAAAUAUAGCACUUCCUAAUAAGUAGCUCGUGUUUUUAUUAAUUUUUGGGUCAGUUCUGAUGACUGAAACAAUUCAAAUCUCUAUUAGAACUUUGUGUCACUCACAUGUCAACUUGAGAGCUGAUAAUGUAUUCUCUUUUCCCUUUGUGAAAAAAUUUAUCAUUGUUUAUUCAGUUUAUUUACAUGUGCGUGGGGUGCUUAGUUAUCUAGUCUCUACGAACGUUCUUUUAAUUAGUAGUGUUUGAAUAAGUCUUGAAUAAGUAACUGGCUGAACUAGUGAUUUAGGAUAAGAUAUUUCCUCUAGAUUUAAUGAUUAAUUAUGUUGUACAAAUGGCUAUAUAAAGGCCCCUUCGGUUGAAUGAAAAAUGCACCAACUCUUCUCCAUUUACUCUCCUAUUCUUCAAUUUUUUUUUAUUGCACCAGCAUAUUAUUUUCUAUCAAGCAAACAGUGGUAUCAGAGCCAUUUCUAGGCAAAAAUCCGUCCACCCUUUCCAAGAAUUUGUAGUGCAAAAAAAUCAAUCCGUUUUACAUUGAUAUGCUCAUUAUUGUAGCAACAAAUUCUGUCUCAUUCACAUUUUUACUUUCUGCCAGAUAUAUAAUUCUUCUAAAAACAAAUUUUGUAUCUGAUUUGCAACCAGUUUAUCAAUUAAUUCUCGGAACCUUGUAUUGCACUAGAAAGUAUAUAUGGUAUCUGAAAAUUUUGUGCAGCCAGCCGUUCCCCGUUUUGAUGGUAACUAACUAACUAUGACCAUUGGAGCAUGCUAAUAGAGAACUUCUUGAUGUUUAAAAAGUACUGGCAUGUUAUUGAAUCUGUUGUAGUAGUACCUACUGUUGGAUUGGUAAUAACAGAAUCACAACAAAUAGAGUUGGAAAGAUUUGAUGGCAAAAAAUUAUUUGUUCUAGGCCAUUGAUUGAUCUAUCUUGGAGACUGUUCUUAGUUAAAAAAAACUCCUAAGGAUAUUUGGGAUUCAAUGAAGAAAAAAUGUCAAGGCUUUUCCAGAUUGAAGUGUGCACAGCUUCAAGCCUUAAGAAGGGAUUUUGAAACUCAAAAAAUGACGAAUGGUGAAUCUGUUACCAUGUAUCAUGCGAAGACCAUGGCGAUAUCUGAUAAAAUGAGAUUCCAUUGUAAGAAGAUGGAAGAUGUUGCCACCCUUGGCACCAAAGUUCAACUAUGUUGUCUGUUCAAUUGAAGAACCCAAAGACAUAGAUGCAAUGUCCUUUGAUGAGCUCCAGAGUUCCUUAUUGGUCCAUGAGCAAAUGGUGAACAGAAGUUCAACGACAGACGAGCAAGCUUUAAGGGCAUCCACCUUUACUUAAUUCUCAAAUAUUAGAGGAAGGGGAAGAGGUAGAGUAGAAGAGGUCGAGGUAAUAGAGAUGGCAGCAGGCAAUAUCAAAAUUUUAAAGUUUAUGAUCAAUUUCAAGGCAAGGGUAGAGGACAAGGUUAGCACUUUGACAAACUCUAGGUGCCAUAAUUUUGGUCAUCAUCGUUCUGAAUGUUAUCGCAAGCUGCCCAAUGAUAAAGAAAAAGGAGUGAAAUCGAAUUUUGUAGAAAAUAAGGAAGUAGAAACUUUGUUGAUGGCAAUCUAAGUCAGUGAGAAACCUCAGUCAGAUGUAUGGUAUGUGGAUACAUGCCACAUCAAUCACGUGUAGAAUUAAGUAUUCUUUUCCUUAUUUAAAUGAAGGCUUUGGUUCUACAGUAAGUUUUAGUGAUUGUUCUACUGUGAAUGUAAUGGGAAAGGGCAAUAUUAAUAUAAGAACCAAGAAUGGUAUUUUAGAAAUAAUUUUCAAUGUUUUUUACAUUCCUGACAUGAAAAGCAAUGUGUUAAAGUGCUGGACAAAUGCACAUGCCCCCCGAAAAAAAAAAAAAAAAAACGAACACAAAGGUUAUGUAAUUACUAUCAGGAAUGGUGCGUGUGAGAUAUAUGAUCCUUCUAGGUGAGCUAUUGCUAUUGGUCAAAUGAGUUCAAACAGGUGGUUUUUGCUAAUAUCAAAAGUGCCCAACCUUCCUUGAUGGCGGAAGUGAAAGACUCUUCAUGGCUUUGGUAUUUACCUUCAUAAAGUUGAUCAUUAUGAGUGUUAUGACGAAUUUGAUUGGGAGGUUCAAUGGCAAAAAGAAGGGGAUUCAUAGAAUGAGUUGAGGGCGUAGGCAUUAUUGGAGGAGAAGAAGCACUAAAUUGGUGUUUAUCUUUACUUGAGCAUCAAAAUCUGGGUCAAUAUUGACAAAAACAUCUCUGAACAAGGUUCUAGCUAUUGCCACUUGAAUUUUGGUAGAAUAAAGAUCCUCCAACAAAAGAAUAUGGCAAAGGCCUUCCUCAAAUUAACAAUCCUUCUAAAGUUUGUGAAGAAUGUGUUAUUGGCAAACAACAUCGUUCACAAUUUGUAUAAGAAAAGUCAUGGAGAGAAAAAUGUCAUGGAGCUGGUUAAUUUCGACAUUUGUGGGCUGAUAAAACCAUCUUCUAUUAGGGGUAAGAGAUGCUUGAUUAUCGUCAUUGAUGAUCAUAGUCGAAAAACUAUGGUUCAAUUUUUACAGGAAAAAUUAUAAGCUUUUAGUGCAUUUAAAAGCUUCAAGGCGUGGGAAUAGGAAAAACAAUUGAAACUCUUCGUACUAAUUGUGGUGGAGAAUACUGCUCAAAAGAGUGGAAAGUUCUUGCGAUCUUGUCAUACGAAGAGAACUUGUGGUAGCUUAUAUAUUGCAACAAAAUGCUGUAUUAGUGAGGAAAGUAGAACGAUUCUCAACAUGGUGAGAAGCUUGCUAGCAAGAGGGAGAGUUCUAAAGAAUUUUUUGCCAAAAGCAGUAAAUUGGAGCAUCGAUGUCUUGAAUAUCAGUUCUACUUUUGCAGUUCAAAACAUGACACUAGAAGAGGCUUAAUGUAGGUGAAAACCAGCUGGCAGCUGUAGAUCACUUUAGAUUUUUCGAUCACAUCGUAUAUGUAGAUAUCCCAGAUGAGACAAGGAAGAAACUUGAUGAUAAGGGUGAAAGUGUCUUUCUCGACAUAAGCGAAACGUCUAAAGCAUAUAAAUUGUUCAAUCUAAUGACAAAGAAGAUUGUGAUUAGUAGAGAUGUCAUUUUUUAUUAGGAGAGCACGUGGAAUUGAAUGGACAACAGCUUACUCAGUGCAUUUUUGACAGCGAAAUUGAAGAACAAAUACAGCAACUUCUACAUCAACAAAUUCUAGUAGCACCUAUACCUGAAAAUCCACCAAAUGUAGCUCCAACAAGUGCUAAAAACUUUACCAAUGGCAGCAGAAGCUACUAACGCAACAAUUGAAUCCCAUCUUCACCAUAUUUGAAAGAGGCCUACAAGGAUGACAGACUACGAGGUUACUGAAAUUGACCAAACUGAAGAUCCAAUCAUCUACUUUGCUUUAUUUUCAAAUUGUAACCCUACAACUUUCGAAAGUGCUAUCAAAGAAUCAAAAUGGCAAAAAGCAAUGGAUGAUAAAAUUGCAGCCAUUGAAAGAAAUGAUACUUGGGAGUUAUCAAAUCUUUCAAAAGGGUACAAAACUAUUGGCUUGAAAUGGAUUUUCAAAACAAAACUAGAAUGGUAAAGUUCACAUGUACAAGGCGCGAUUGGUGGCUAAGGGAUACAAGCAAUAGUAUGGGGUUGACUAUAAAGAAUGUUGCAAGACAUGAUAUAAUUAGAUUAGUGGUCGCAUUGGUAGCAUAAUAUUCAUGGCCUAUCUUCUAGUUGGAAGUCAAAUCGGCAUUCUUGCAUGGAAACUUUGAAGAAUAGGUAUUUGUCUAUCAACCUCCGGGUUAUAUUAAACUUGGAAAUGAGCAUAAGGUGUAUAGAUUCAAGAGAGCUCUUUAUGGAUUGAAACAAGACCCAUAGCCUUGGUAUAGUCGCAUUGAGGCUUAAUUUUUAAAAGGAAGGUUUUCAAAAAUGUUCAUAUGAGCGCACAAUUUUAUUUUAUUUUUUUAAAUGUUAGAGAUGGAAGGAAAAUACUCAUUGCCUGCUUAUCUAUAGAUGAUUUUAUAUUUACUGGAAAUGAUAGUAUCAUGUUCGAAGAAUUCAAGAAGUCUGUGAUGGUUGAAUCUGAAAUGUUUGAUUUUGGUUUGAUGCAUUAUUUCCUUGGCAUAGAAGUAGUACAGACAGCUAGUGGAAUCUUUUUUGUCAAAAGAAGUAUGUGCAAAAAAUUUUGGACAGGUUUUGGAUGAAAGAUUGCAACACUGAAAGCAUCCGAUCGAGUUUGGCUUGAAGUUAAACAAAGGUCAUGGAAGAAAAAGGGGGACAACACACUCUACAAGCAAAUUGUGGAGAGUUUGAUGUAUUUAACUGUAACUUGUAGAGAGUUUGAUGUAUUUAACUGCAACGAGGCCUGACAUAAUGUAUUCUGUAACUCUAAUCAGCAGAUAUAUGGAGAAUCCACAAUGAUGCAUCUGUUAGCAGCCAAGAGAAUCUUUCAUUACUUGCAGGGAAAUAAAGAUUUUAGGCUAUUCUACAAGAAGGGUGAAAAAUCAAAACUAUUCGGGUUUACUGAUAGUGGUUAUACAUGAGAUCAAAAUGAUAUGAGGAGGUUAUGUUUUUAUGUUGGGAAUAGGGGCUAUUUCAUGGUCAUCCAAGAAGUAACCAAUUGUCACUUUGUCAACUACUGAAACUGAAUUUGUUGCUGCAACAGCUCGUGCUUGUUAAGCUAUUUGGCUGUGGAAAAUUCUUGAAGAGUUACAUUUCAAGCAAGUAGGAUUUACUACAAUUUUUUGUGACAAUAGCUCAAAUGUCAAACUUUUCAAAAUCCUAUAUUGCAUGAAAGAAACCAGCAUAUUGAUGUGAAGUAUUAGUUUUUAAGAGAUCUCAGCAAUGAUGGAACAAUUAAUCUGAAGCACUACAGAAGUGAAGAUCAGUUGGCUGAUGUAUUUACUAAUCUUCUCAAAUCUCUUAAAAAAUAAUACUUUACAAAAUUUGAGAAGGUUACUAGGCAUUUGCACUUUUGAGAGUUCAGCUUGAAGUAAUUGUACAAAUAAAUUGGAUCUUAAAAGUCUUAGGUUUAAGGAAGGGAUUGUAAAAAAAAAUUUAUCAUUGUUUAUUUAGUUUAUUUACAUGCACGUGGGGGUGCUUAGUUACCUAGUCUCUACGAAUGUUUUUUUACUUGGUAAUGUUUGAAUAAGUCAUUUAACAAUAGCUGAAAAGUAACCGGCUAAACUAGUCAUUUGGGAUAAUAUAUUUUCUCCAGAUUUAAUGCUUAAUUCUAUUGGACAAAUGGCCGUAUAAAGGCCCCUUAGGUUGAAUGAAAAAUUCACCAACUCUUCUCCAUUUACUGUUUACUUUCUUUAUUGCACCAGCAGAUUAUUUUCUUUCAGGCAAACACCCUUUACUUUUCCUUUGACAGUGGUAGGUGAUGACUUCAUAAUUGCUAUAUACGGAAAUUUUUUGAUGUACAACAUCAAGCUCUUUAAGUAUCUCAAAUGACUUUCAAAUAUAGCAUUUUCCUUUUCUGUUCUACAUUUAUCCCUUCUCAUCAAAAACAUCUUCUGAACCCUAUGUACAUCUAUUGCGAGUGAAGAAAGACUCAUCAAUUAACUAAUGCAUUACAAUCAUAAACCAAAGAACACCUUUGGUCCCUGUAAAACUAGCUAUCCAUCUUAGUGGACAACACCUAUGGAUUUAUUGUGAAAAUGGCUACAAUAGUUCGUCUUUGGUGUGGUUCCGUCUUAUGUAAGAUUGCAAAAUCUCAAGGUUGCAUCUGAAACUACGAAACAGCACCUAAACCAGGUUGCAACAGGAACGAGUGUUAUUGCACUCAGGAAAAUCCUUCCAUUGGUAUUCAGUUGCAUUCCUACAUGUUUUAUGGUGGUGGUCAGCUGGUAGAGGAUUUUAUUUUAAUCCAAUUCACUGAUGGAUCAAAACCAGGUUCCUUUUAUGCUGUGAAGCGUUUGCUAAUCAGUUGCAUUCCUACAUAUUUUACAGAUGGUCUUGCUCGUGGAGUUAAGGGCCCGACCAGAGGCUGGGCAAUGGUCUGCGCUUCUUACUUUGUUGUUAUGGGCUUUUAGCAUUCAAAGAGAGUUCACUAUCUGCUUGAGCCCCUCAACAAGAUCUAACAACGUCAAAAUUUUGGUUCUGAACCAUAUUUUAAGCUUGCUGGAAUAGACAUCCAAAUUUCUCAUGUACACCCCGCUAAUAAUUAUCCAUGAUCCUUGUACUUAAGUGUGCCAUCUUCUGAGUACUACAUUGGAGUCAAAACCAUUAAAAUCAAUGGUAAAUCUGUGCCUCUUAAAGCCACAUUUCUAUCAAUUGACGAGGCAGUGAUAGCGGAACUAAAGUGAGUACUUUGGCCCUUACACGAUCAUAGAGUCUUCCAUUUAUAAAGCUGUAACUAAUGUUUUUAUCAAAGAGCUUUCAAAUGUCACUAGAGUGGCACUGGUUGCACCCUUUGGAGCAUGCUUUAAUGCUAAAACUAUUGGCACAUUGCAUUUUGGCCUAUGGUUCCUCCUAUAGAUCUAGUUUUGCACAAAACAAAUGUGUAUUGUAGGAUUUUUGGUGCAAACUCAAUGGCUCCUGUCAGAAAAGAUGUACUGUGUUUGGGAUUUGAAGAUGGAGGGCUUAGUCUUAUUUUCAUUGUAAUUGGUGGGCAUCAAAUCGAAGAAAAUUUUCUACAGUUUAAUCUUUGCCAAAUCAAGGAUGGGGUUGACUCUUCUCUCUUGUUCUGCAAAACAUCAUGUGGGACUUCAACUUGACAUCUCAUGCUUAGAGCUCCAUUUGACAUCAAUUUUCACAUUUAACGAAGUCGUGAUUUUCACACUCAUAAAAUAAUUACUGACAAUGCUCAUAAAUAGGGCUAUGACUAUGCUGGAAUCUUGCAUGUACUCAAUUCAUUAAGAAAUAAAAUAGGAAACACACGAGCAUGUAUCUUUUCAAUACUAAUUUGACUAUCGUUUCUCCUUGUAUUCUCCAAUUUGCAAGAAUACAAGGAUUUGUUGCAAUUAUUUGAUGAUUUUGUUUCCUAACUUGAGGUGAUGCUUAUAAACUUCAAGCGGGACACGUAUGUGAAUGAC